rnacentral:rRNA from 1 species
AUUGAACGCUGGCGGCAGGCCUAACACAUGCAAGUCGGGCUAGCGGCGGACGGGUGAGUAAUGUAUGGGGAUCUGCCUGAUGGAGGGGGAUAACUACUGGAAACGGUAGCUAAUACCCCAUACCACCACAUGAACCCAUAUGGGAUUAGCUUGUAGGUGAGGGAACGGCUCACCAAGGCUACGCUCCCUAGCUGUUCUGAGAGGAUGAUCGGCAAAACGUGGAAUGAGACACGGCCCAGACUCCGACGUGAGGCAGCAGUGGGUAAGAUGGCACAAUGGGAGCAAGCAUGAUGCAGUCAUGCCGCGUGUAUGAAGAAGGCCUUCGGAUUGUAAAGUACUUUCAGUCGGGAGGCGUUACCGACAGAGGAAGCACCGGCUAACUCCGUGCCAGCAGCAGCGGUAAUUC